UACGUAGGUGGCAAGCGUUGUCCGGAUUUACUGGGUGUAAAGGGCGUGUAGCCGGGCUGACAAGUCAGAUGUGAAAUCCGGGGGCUCAACCCCCGAACUGCAUUUGAAACUGUUGGUCUUGAGUAUCGGAGAGGCAGGCGGAAUUCCUAGUGUAGCGGUGAAAUGCGUAGAUAUUAGGAGGAACACCAGUGGCGAAGGCGGCCUGCUGGACGACAACUGACGGUGAGGCGCGAAAGCGUGGAGAGCAAACAGG
rnacentral:rRNA from 1 species